UGAGGAAUAUUGGACAAUGGGCGCAAGCCUGAUCCAGCCAUGCCGCGUGCAGGAUGACGGUCCUAUGGAUUGUAAACUGCUUUUAUACAGGAAGAAACACUGGUUCGUGAACCAGCUUGACGGUACUGUAAGAAUAAGGAUCGGCUAACUCCGUGCCAGCAGCCGCGGUAAUACGGAGGAUCCAAGCGUUAUCCGGAAUCAUUGGGUUUAAAGGGUCCGUAGGCGGUUUGGUAAGUCAGUGGUGAAAGCC
rnacentral:rRNA from 1 species